rnacentral:rRNA from 1 species
GUACACGCUGUGACUAGCAUAUCAAUAAGCGGAGGAAAAGAAACUAACAAGGAUUCCCUUAGUAACGGCGAGUGAAGCGGGAAGAGCUCAAAUUUGAAAUCUUGAAAGGUCACCUUUCACGAAUUGUAGUUUAAAGAAGUGUUUUCUGUUACGAUCGUAAUAUAAGUUCUUUGGAAUAGGACAUCACAGAGGGUGAGAAUCCCGUCUAUGAUUGCGAUUUGUAGCUUUGUGAUACACUUUCAAAGAGUCGGGUUGUUUGGGAAUGCAGCCCAAAACGGGAGGUAAAUUUCUCCUAAGGCUAAAUAUUGGCGAGAGACCGAUAGCGAACAAGUACCGUGAGGGAAAGAUGAAAAGAACUUUGAAAAGAGAGUUAAAUAGUACGUGAAAUUGUCAAAAGGGAAGCGUUUAACACCAGUGUUGUUUUCUGAAAAUCAACCUCUGUUAGCUUUAUGCAUGUUUGUUUAGACCUAAUCAGCUAUCUUUCAUGUUCUAUUGUUUGCAGUGGUGCACUUUUCAGUUUACAGGUCAACAUCAGUUUUUUUUACCGUAAAAAGUUAAAGAAAGGUAGCUCAUGGCUCCGGUCGUGAGUGUUAUAGUCUUUUUCCUAUGCGGUAGGAGAGACUGAGGUCUGCAGUGUAGGCUAUUUGGCUAGAUACUCAGGUGCUAUGUGAUACCAUUUCAUAAACAACUUGUUGAUUAUGUUUUGUCUAUUGCAUACUCGCUUGUACUAUCAUACCUACGCUUAGGAUGUUGAGUAGCGACAUACGCAC